UCUGGCGUAGUACCACCCCACGACGUCAACAACAUUACAAGAGGAGGAGAAGAACCCGAAAAUAGAUUUUGGGGUUUUUGGAACGCUGCCUCCUGCUUUGUCGCAGGUCAGUCGUUCAUACUGUUUAGUCACGCAACAUGUUUCAUACAGCAGCUGGUCGUUCAGGAUGUCGAUGGCUUUUAGUGAAAAAGGAUUUCGUGCAGGGAGUGUGUUCUUUGGGUAGACGAUCCAACAGCAAUGCACUAGCAGCUGCCCGUCAGCUGCUGGAAAACGAGCUGGAGUCGAUUCGCCAAGCUGGAACGUUUAAAAACGAAAGAGUCAUUACGUCCAAGCAAGCUGUCAGUGUCCAAGUUCAGGGACAACUUCAACCUCUGCUCAAUUUCUGUGCAAACAAUUACCUAGGCCUAUCGGUCCAUCCGGAUGUUAUUGAAGCAGGUAAAGAAGCUCUCGACAGGUAUGGGGCCGGCUUGAGUAGCGUGCGUUUCAUCUGCGGAACUCAAGACAUCCAUAAGACGUUGGAGAAGAAAAUUGCUGAAUUUCAUGGCCGUGAAGAUGCCAUUCUCUAUCCGAGUUGUUUCGAUGCCAAUGCUGGACUUUUCGAGGUCCUUCUCAGUCCCGACGAUGCCGUGAUUUCAGACGAACUUAAUCAUGCGUCCAUCAUUGAUGGUAUCCGGCUUUGCAAGGCUAAAAAGUUCCGUUACAAACACAAGGACAUGGCUGAUCUCGAGGAGAAAUUGAAAGAGAGUCAAAACGCACGAAUGCGCUUAAUUGUGACGGAUGGCGUCUUUAGCAUGGAUGGUAACGUGGCUCCAUUGAAAGAAAUCAGCCAACUAGCUGACCAAUAUCAAUCAAUGAUCUUUAUCGACGAGUGUCACGCCACGGGCUUUUUUGGAGUUACCGGCAGAGGAACGGAAGAAUAUUUUGGUCUCACCAACCGAGUUGACAUCAUUAAUUCAACUUUGGGCAAAGCCUUGGGUGGAGCUGCUGGUGGCUACACGACUGGCCCCAAAGAAUUGAUUCACCUUCUUAGACAACGAUCACGGCCUUACCUUUUCUCCAAUUCACUUCCGCCGCCGGUUGUCGCCGUUGCUCAAAAGGCACUGGAAUUGGUUAUGGGAGGGUCAGGUUUAUCGCAAAAAGUAGCAGCUAACACGGCACGUUUCCGACAAGGAAUGUCAUCAGCUGGAUUUCAAAUUCUGGGCGAAAAUCAUCCCAUUUGCCCCGUAUUUCUAGGAGAUGCUAAACUGGCUGCUACCAUGGCCGAAAAAAUGUUGGGUAGAGGCAUCUACGUGAUUGGAUUUAGCUACCCUGUCGUGCCUAAAGGAAAAGCACGAAUUCGCGUGCAAAUCUCUGCGGCCCAUUCGUUUGACGACAUCGACCGGACCAUCGAGGCCUUCAUCGCAGUUGGCCGUGAGCUGAACGUCAUCCACUAGAGAGAGAAGGAAAAAGAAAAUGUUAAUGAUAAACAAAACCUCACACGCCAAAGAAAAAACACGAAGUUUACCCAUCUACCAAUGGCGAAACUUUAAAAACAAAAAUGAAACUGUAUUUUGAGCGCGACAAAAAAGACAAAGCUAUUAUUUUAAAAGACUAGUUAAUAUAAAGGUGGGGUGCACCGGGGUCAUUUUGUUCUUCCCAAGGAUCCGUUAGUUAUUUGUUGGAUGAGUUCCAUGGCGUAACUGAGAGUUAAGGUCGUGUUUAUUUGCUGAGCCUCCAAUUUCACUAGGGCAUUCUGCACAGCAUCCAUCCUUUGAGGAACAUUAGCUGCCGGAAUUUGAGAAGAGAGACGUUCCGUGGUAUUUUGAAGUGAGGUAAUCAUUCCCUGUGAAAUUUUACGAUAAUAGAAAUCACAACAAAUAGACACUUUUUUCACUUGUCAUAUACGUGAUGAUGGUGCAAAUCUUCGGAGAUUGUGUCCAGUCGACCCUGCAGCGUCGAGUUGAAGGUUUCUAGUACUGCCGUUGGCAAUUCUUUUAGAUCGGCCAGUCCGAGCUUCAAAUCGGAUAUUGUAGCACCAUAAGUGGCCAAAGAGGACUUUAACGAAUCAAGCUCUUUGCCAAUGUUCAACAUUUGAGGGGCCUCUUUUAGACUGUCUUUAAUGUUGCUGACGUCAGUCGUCAUCGACGUCAUUUGUUGACGGAUGUCCUCCAAACCUCUCGAAUAAUUCUGAAGGACGUAAAAGUGGUAAGACUGAUUCAAAGUCAGCUCCUUAAUGGUUCUCUUCAGCCCCAAAAUGGUUUCAUCAUCAUAAGAGGCAGGAACUGAAAAAAGCACUCACAAUGAAUAUACAGCCUAGGGAACAAUGAAAUGUUAUUGUCUACCACUGGCCAGUUUCUCAGAGAGUUGUUGUACUUCUGUGUGAAGCAGCAUGACUAUCCAACCGAGGACUAAAGUGCCUCCUACGGCAAAUGAUAUGCAGGCAAUUUUUAACACAUUGGAAUAGGAGCAAGACAGUUGGGAAAGCGAAGGAGAAUGAGAUCCAUUUCCAGUCUCACCUCGCCUUUGCUUCCUACUAAGCGCAAAAAUGCAAAGAAUCAUGGUAUUGAUAAAUUAAAAAAAUUACUCCUGAUUUUACCUUUUUGUUCGAAUCUUUCGCCUAACUUGCACAGUCGGCUGAGGGGCCAAUGAAAAUUGCAAAUCAGAUGCCGAGUCGCUGUCACUGCUGGCGGCGUUCAGCAGUUGAAUGGCCUCUUUAUUCAUUUCGUUGUUAUUCAUCUCGGCGUCCGGAGACAGGGACGAAUAUGCCGACUCAUGUGUUCCCGCUGUGAAUGCAGAGGGGUGUGUAUAUAAAUUUCAGCAUGAGAUAAGAAAAUAACACACAAGAUUAAGAUUCUCUUUCAUUUGACGAAAUUCAUUCGCAGCAGAAGACGAAUGAUGAUAACAACAGCUGGAAGAGACAUCUAGCGAACGAGAAUGCCAUCUAGCGUCAAGUAUGACAAUGGAUGAAGAGUGCAAUGAACCGUCAGUGGGCUCGAGAGGACGCAGCAGUCGUAAGAUUUGAAAGGGAUGAAACAGACGAUGGGUGGAGGAAUUCAGGUCGUGAAAUUCUCCUACGAUCAACUCAUUUCGUUUCUUGAGUCAAGCUCGUGAACUUUUCAUCUUGAAUGAGGCAGCAGCAAGAGGGAAAGUUGAUUAUAUCUUGACUAACACCGCCUACAACUACUACUACUACUACUAGUUCUACUACAGCAUACAGUUAAUGAUUUGAUGAUCUACCGAAAAAUUGCGAGGCCAUAUUCAAUUGCAACCAUGGUUGAUGAUGAUUAUGUGGAUAAUGAUGAUGAAUACCACAAAAAGUUGUGAAAAAAGUCCUUGGCAGUAAUCAAUUUUUUCUUGUCCGGAUUCCUUUCCGUCACCCCCAACUGCAGACGAAUCUUUUACCAACAACCAGUUUUUUUUUUUUUUUUUUCUAAAUUAAAAAAAGAUGGCCGCUGAUAAUAGAGGCUGGUCGUUUACAGGUGCAGCAGCCCAAAACAAGAAUCUGCAAACAGUUGUCUCUCUCUGCAUACAAGAAGACGAAGAAGAAGAGAGAAAGACGAAGAUGGUGUUCCGCUUUUUUUUGUGUGUGUGGUAGUUGCUGUUCCAGUGUUCCAGUGCUUCUGGCGCUGAGAGAGAGUCACACACACACACUCACACACACCAAAGUUACUAUACCAGCCCAGCAGGUAGUAAAGGUAGUCGGUAACCAAACGUCAACCGGUUCGCACGCACGCGUAUUUUUUUCGUGCUGUUGUCAGUGUGGUUGUGCAUAUUUUCUCCCCUAUAGCCAUUUUUUCGUGUCUUUUCUCCAUAUUUUCAUUACAUUGUUUUUAAUUAGUAGUUCUGCUACUGCUGCUGCCCUCUGUGUCUGAUUUCAUCGUGCAUCCACCCCUUUUUUCCUUUUCCCCAGUCGACUACAAAAGUCAGUUCGUGGAAUUCGAUCAAUUGACGUUCGCCAAUAGUUUGUGUCAAUUGGAAUUCCAGUGCCGUUGGGGAGGGGACCGAAUUGAAAAAAGUACAUUUCAUUCCGUCAGUGUAAAGAACCACACAUCAACGAGUGUUGCAUGCGUGUGUGAGUGUCUAUGUGUUUGUGGGGUGAAAAGAAGUGCCUCGCGGGGGUGAUAAAUAACAACGGAACGCUUCCGGCCGCUGGAACGAUGAUGGCCUUGUUGUUAUUGUAGUGGUAUAGGGUUGGCCAUUUUUUUUUUUUUUAAUUCUAAAACAAAACUAAAAAAACAAAAAGAGAAAAAAAAAUAAUAUUA
rnacentral:misc_RNA from 1 species